rnacentral:rRNA from 1 species
UACGGAGGAUGCGAGCGUUAUCCGGAUUUAUUGGGUUUAAAGGGUGCGUAGGCGGUCCGUUAAGUCAGCGGUACAAUUGCGGGGCUCAACCCCGUCGAGCCGUUGAAACUGUCAGACUUGAGUUGGCGAGAAGUACGCGGAAUGCGCGGUGUAGCGGUGAAAUGCAUAGAUAUCGCGCAGAACUCCGAUUGCGAAGGCAGCGUACCGGCGCCACACUGACGCUGAGGCACGAAAGCGUGGGGAUCGAACAGG